rnacentral:rRNA from 1 species
GACGAACGCUGGCGGCGUGCUUAACACAUGCAAGUCGAACGGAAAGGCCCUGCUUUUGUGGGGUGCUCGAGUGGCGAACGGGUGAGUAACACGUGAGUAACCUGCCCUUGACUUUGGGAUAACUUCAGGAAACUGGGGCUAAUACCGGAUAGGAGCUCCUGCUGCAUGGUGUGGGUUGGAAAGUUUCGGCGGUUGGGGAUGGACUCGCGGCUUAUCAGCUUGUUGGUGGGGUAGUGGCUUACCAAGGCUUUGACGGGUAGCCGGCCUGAGAGGGUGACCGGCCACAUUGGGACUGAGAUACGGCCCAGACUCCUAAGGGAGGCAGCAGUGGGGAAUAUUGAACAAUGGGCGGAAGCCUGAUGCAGCAACGCCGCGUGCGGGAUGACGGCCUUCGGGUUGUAAACCGCUUUCGCCUGUGACGAAGCGUGAGUGACGGUAAUGGGUAAAGAAGCACCGGCUAACUACGUG